GUGGUCACUUCGGCAGCAGAUAUACUGAAAUUGGAAGAAUAUAGAGAAGAUUAGCUUGGUGCCUGCACAAGGAUGACAUACAAAUUCCUGUAGCAUUCCAUAUUUGG
ensembl:snRNA U6 U6 spliceosomal RNA